rnacentral:lncRNA from 1 species
GCCCAUCCUUACUAUAGUGAUAAAAAAUACCCUUAGCAGAGACUUUUGUCACCUUCUUCUUAGAGAUUCUAGCUUUUGGGUUUAUCUUUUUCUUUGAACCCUUUUUGCCUUUCUUCUUAGAGAUCUUAUCUACAAGAAGAACAGAUGCCUUUUCACCUUUGAAAUAGCUCUUUGCUGUCUUUAGCAUGUUCGACAACUCAGGUAGGCUAGUG